rnacentral:sRNA from 1 species
CGUAUUGAACGAUUCGAAGAGUUACUAUUGCGAAUAUUUUUAUAUAAAUAUUAAAACAAAAUAAUAACUUCAAAUUUGUUCAUAUAACAAAUGUAUAUACGGUGGCUUUUUAAAUUCAUAAUUUUAGAAAUGUCAAUCCAUAUAUAUCACAGAAAU